rnacentral:rRNA from 1 species
CUACGGGCUGCUCCAGUGGGGAAUAUUGCACAAUGGGCGCAAGCCUGAUGCAGCCAUGCCGCGUGUAUGAAGAAGGCCUUCGGGUUGUAAAGUACUUUCAGCGGGGAGGAAGGGAGUAAAGUUAAUACCUUUGCUCAUUGACGUUACCCGCAGAAGAAGCACCGGCUAACUCCGUGCCAGCAGCCGCGGUAAUACGGAGGGUGCAAGCGUUAAUCGGAAUUACUGGGCGUAAAGCGCACGCAGGCGGUUGGUUAAGUCAGAUGUGAAAUCCCCGGGCUCAACCUGGGAACUGCAUCUGAUACUGGCAAGCUUGAGUCUCGUAGAGGGGGGUAGAAUUCCAGGUGUAGCGGUGAAAUGCGUAGAGAUCUGGAGGAAUACCGGUGGCGAAGGCGGCCCCCUGGACGAAGACUGACGCUCAGGUGCGAAAGCGUGGGGAGCAAACAGGAUUAGAUACCCUAGUAGUC